GGUUGACCCGCCGGACCCCACUGCUAUCGAGAUGGGAUUAAGGUAUGCUAGUCGAACGACCAGAACUAUGUCUGGAAGUGGCACACUGCUCAGUAACACGUAGCUAACCUACCCUUAGGACGUGGAUACCCCCGAGAAAUUGGGGUUAAUCCGCGAUAGAUGUAAUGUCCUGGAAUGGUAUUACGUCUAAAGGUAUUUCAUACAUGUUUGAAAUAUGCCUAAGGAUGGGGCUGCGGCCGAUCAGGCUGUUGGUGAGGUAAUGGCUCACCAAACCUUUGACCGGUACGGGCCAUGAGAGUGGUAGCCCGGAGAUGGACACUGAGACAAGGGUCCAGGCCCUAAGGGGCGCAGCAACCGCGAAACCUCCACAAUGCACUCACGUGCGAUGGGGCUAUCUCGAGUGCCACCUGAUGAAGGUGGCUUUUCCUUGGUCUUCAAAGCCUUGGGAAUAAGAGGGGGGCAAGACUGGUGUCAGCCGCCGCGGUAACACCAGCCCCUCGAGUGGUGGGGAUGAUUAUUUGGCCUAAAGCGUCCGUAGCCGGCCGAGCAAGUCUUCCGUUAAAUCCAGCGUCUCAAGCGUUGGACCGCGGGAGAUACUACACGGCUAGAGAGUGGGAGAGGUCAGCGGUAUUCUGGGGGUAGGGGCGAAAUCCUUUGAUCCCCGGAGGACCACCAGUGGCGAAGGCUGCUGACUAGAACACGUCUGACGGUCAGGGACGAAAGCUGGGGUAGCGAACCGGAUUAGAUACCCGGGUAGUCCCAGCCGUAAACGAUACAUGCUAGGUGUUGGGUUGGCCACGAGCCACCCCAGUGCCGCAGGGAAGCCGUUAAGCAUGCCGCCUGGGAAGUACGAUCGCAAGAUUGAA
rnacentral:rRNA from 1 species